GCGCAGCAGGCGCGAAAAUUUUGCAAUGCGCGCAAGCGUGACAAAGUCAUCCCGAGUGCCGUCCGCUGAGGAUGGCUUUUCUCUGCUGUAAGAAGGCAGAGGAAUAAGGAGAGGGCAAGUCUGGUGUCAGCCGCCGCGGUAAUACCAGCUCUCCGAGUGGUAGGGAUGAUUAUUGGGCUUAAAGCGUCCGUAGCUGGCCUUUCAAGUCUCUUGUUAAAUCCAGCGAUUCAAUCGUUGGACUGCGGGAGAUACUGUAUGACUUGGAGGCGGGAGAGGCUACCGGUAGUCCCGGAGUAGGGGUGAAAUCUUAUAAUUCCGGGAGGACCACCAGUGGCGAAGGCUGUCGGCUAGAACGCGCUCGACGGUGAGGGACGAAAGCUGGGGGAGCGAACCGGAUUAGAUACCCCUGUAGUCC
rnacentral:rRNA from 1 species